rnacentral:sRNA from 1 species
UUGAAGAGCAACUCGCGGUCCUCGUGACCGU